CCCAGAUGAUGCGGGGGUGGAGUAACAGUCGCUCUUUCUCCAAGCAUUCUGGAUGGAAGACACCUUCCUCAUUCCCCAGGACAGACAAGCAGCGUCCUUGGUCUGAGAGCUCAGCUGGAUGUGCACCCUCACUCGGAGCUAAAGGCUUCCUCAGUUAGCAGUGUGGUGCUCCUUGGAUUCACGUUCAGAGACACAAAGCCACACCCUGGAACAAACAGAGCGGCCCUGAGCAGGAGAUGAACAGCUGGAGAAGGGCUGCAGCCUGGGGCUCCUGAAGGGCGUUGGCUGGCAGAGUCCCAAGAGCUAGCAGAGGGGGCUGUCAGAUCCCCUCCUUGCCUUUUGGGAUGUCUGCUGAAUCAUGGAAGCCAGAUCAAGUCCAGAUCCUCAGUGCAGCCUGAGCCUGGGGCAGAUCCCAGCUCCCUACAAGCAGCCAAGGUGCUGGUUCCCUUGCACGUCUCAAUAAGGAAGCCGGUUAACAAAGGAUGCUGCUGGGAAAAGAGGCGGAUUUGGGUGCACCGGAGGACGUGGGCGGUGCGUCCCUGCUGGUUUCCGGUGCCCAAGGCGAGAGCCCAGGUCCACUAGGCUCCAGCUGAAGGCCGUGAAGACAAUGAAGCUCCACCCAAAUACGCAGUCAGACAUGGGGACACCCAGGACCUGGAACUCUCGGGAGCUUAUGCGUUGGUUUCUCGGUUUAGCAAAUGCUAAUUCAGUAUUUAAAACUUAGACACAGAAGGUGGGGGAGCCGUGGGUUAGUGUCCAGGGGAGCCGUGGGUUAGUAGUGUCCAGGGGAGCCGUGGGUUAGUGUCCAGGGGAGCCGUGGGUUAGUGUCCAGGGGAGCCGUGGGUUAGUGUCCAGGGGAGCCGUGGGUUAGUAGUGUCCAGGGGAGCCGUGGGUGUCCAGUGUCCCCUCUGUAGUGACCGAGAACGGGGACCUGUCUCCUAGUCCUUCUGACCUCACUGGUGUGGACAGACCUUCAAGGUCUGUAUAAUCCAAUGACGAUACCAAUAGUGAUGGUAAUGGGGGAAAGUGAUGAUGGUGAUGACGUCGCUCAUGGUAACAGUGAUGAAGGAUGGUGGCGGUGGUGAAAGUUGUGAUGGUGAUGAGGGCAAUCAUGGUGAUAAUAGUGAUGAUGAUGGUGACAAGUCAAUAGUGAUUAGAAUAGUGAUGGUAGUGAGGGUGAUUGUGAUGAUGAUGAUGUGCUGGUGAUGGUCACGGUUAUGAUGGUGAUGACGGUAGUGAUAAUAAUGGUGGUGUUGAUGAUGGUGAUUGUGGUGAUGAUGCCAAUGGUGGUGAUGGUGAUUGUGGUGAUGGUGUGGUAGUGAUGGUCAUGGUUAUGAUGGUGACGAUGGUGGUGAUCAUGAUUGUGCAAUGGUGAUGAUGAUAGUGAUGUUGAUUGUGGUGUUGAUGAUGGUGAUUGUGGUGAUGAUGGUGGUGAUUGUGGUGAUGAUGGUGGUGACUGUGGUGAUGAUGGUGGUGAUGGCGGUGGUCAUGGUGAUAUGUGGAGGGUAAUGCUAAGUAUGUUCACACGGACAGUCAUCUCCCACCCUUGUGUUCGGUCUUCACCACAACUCCAUGGGGAAAUGCUGCUGUUCCAUUCGUUUUACCAACGGGGACGCAGAAGACCGAGUAGCUGGCCCAGGGGCGAACCCACAGCAGCUCUGACUCAAAUCCAGGAAACCGAGCUGCAGACGCCGCGCUCUCGGCCAGAAAGAGCCCUCUGCGCUCAGUCCCCGCCGCCGCCGCAGACACACCAUCUCCAGCACUGAGAAGCUCCAGCCAACGUGGCGAAUCUCUGGAGCUUGACUCGGCAACUGAAAAUGCUGAGCGCGUGCCGAGCAGGCGAGGCCGGGUUUAUCCAAUGUUGUGUUUGUUAAAUAUUUGAUCUGGGAAAAUUAAAUGGUAUCUUCUCUCCGGAGACUCGAGGCUGACGGGCCUGAGAAAUAAAGCUGAUGAAAAUAUCCCCA